rnacentral:rRNA from 1 species
UACGUAGGGGGCAAGCGUUGUCCGGAAUCAUUGGGCGUAAAGCGCGCGUAGGUGGCCAUGCAAGUCCGCUGUGAAAGUCAAAGGCUCAACCUUUGAAAGCCGGUGGAUACUGCAUGGCUAGAGUACGGAAGAGGCGAGUGGAAUUCCUGGUGUAGCGGUGGAAUGCGCAGAUAUCAGGAGGAACACCAAUAGCGAAGGCAGCUCGCUGGGACGUUACUGACACUGAGGCGCGAAAGCGUGGGGAGCGAACAGG